AAAAAAAUUCUGCAAACAAACCCUUAAUUUUUUUUCCGUGCAAUUUGCAAAUGUGUGUAGAAGAAGAAUCCUAGAAUGGCUGUAAUGCCCAGCUAUCAAUUCCACCCACAAACCACUUUCUUGAUGGAUUCAUUACAGACCUCAGUCUCCAAAUUCCAUGUCCGAACAGCCCUACAGUUCCUCCGCUACAGUUCUUCCAAUUCCGCCAAGAAGCAAUUUUUCUGCGCUAAUUUCACCCCACAGAAAAACCCACAUAAAACAUUCACCAAUCAUUCGCCGAGCGCGAAUUACAUGAAUAGCAGAGCGAUUUCAUCUCGUAGUUCUUGGUUGGAUAAUUGGAAUGCAACCCUAAUUUCAGAUAAACCCAAAAAGCCCCAACCGGUGAUGAAUUAUUGCAACAGGGGCGAUGUUUCGAGUUCCGAUUCCGAAGAGGGCACGAGCACGAGCACCGGCGGCACGACGAUGGAAAGAAUCGUCGAAAAAUUGAAGAAAUUUGGCUAUAAAGACGAUAUCGAUGACGAGAGUGAGUCUACAAAGGGAGUGAUCGAAAAGGGGUCGAUUGAGGACAUAUUCCAUGUUGAGGAAGGAAUAUUCCCUAACACACGUGGCGGGUUUUCGGAGAAAUCCCCGUUCGGAGACGAGAAUGUGAACUUCCCAUGGGAGAGAAAAAGAGCAGCCAAUGAAGAGAGAGGGGGUAGUGUGAUAGUCGAAAGAGCCGUAGUUUGGCUGAGUUGACUCUGCCCGAGUCGGAGUUGAGGAGGCUGACGAAUUUGUCUCUUCGGGUUAAGAACAAGACCAAGAUUAGUGGUGCAGGGGUGACUACACAGGUUGUGGAGAUGAUUAAGGAGAAGUGGAAAAGUUCGGAGGUCGUUCGGUUGAAGGUUGAGGGGGCGCCUGCACUUAACAUGAGACGAAUGCACGAGAUUUUGGAGAGAAAAACCGGUGGACUGGUUAUAUGGAGAUCCGGCACUUCCGUUUCGCUUUACAGAGGUGCGACGUACGAAGACGCCGCCGCAAAAUUAAAGAAAAAAAUAUUCAAAAAACACGAAAUAUCUCUCAAGUCGUCCUCGUCAGCAACCGACAAGUCCGGUCAAGAUUCUUCAGAGUUUGUCCCUCAAGCUGAAUCAGCUAGCACCGAUCAAGAUGAUAGCAGCAAUCCUAAACCUUUAUCCGAAGUGAAAUACGAAGAUGAAGUAGACAAGCUAUUAGACAACCUAGGACCGAGGUAUGAAGAUUGGCCAGGGGAGGGCCCACUCCCUGUGGAUGCCGAUUUGCUGCCAGGUGUAGUUUCUGGUUAUCGGCCCCCGUUUAGAUUGCUUCCUUAUGGUGUGAGGUCAACUCUUCCAAUGAAGGAGUCGACUGCUUUACGGAGGCUUGCAAGAGUACUGCCACCACAUUUUGCACUAGGGAGAAGUAGGCAGCACCAAGGAUUGGCUGCAGCUAUGAUAAAGCUGUGGGAAAGAAGUUCGAUUGUGAAAAUUGCACUUAAACGAGGGGUUCAGCUGACAACUAGUGAGAGAAUGGCGGAAGAUCUUAAGAGAUUAACCGGUGGUAUGCUACUAUCUCGAAACAAAGACUUUCUUGUCUAUUACAGAGGGAAGGACUUUUUAUCCCCCGAUGUAGCCGAAGUACUACUCGAGCAAGAGAGAUUAGCAAAGGCUUUACAAGACGAAGAAGAACAAGCUCGCCUAAGAUCUUCUCCCUUGCGGGUCCCACAAAGUGUCGAAGAGAAUAAUAAUGAAUUCGGAGUUGCGGGUACACUUCAAGAAACUUUGGAUGCAAACGAUCGAUGGGGCAAAAAACUCGAUCAAGAUCACAAGCAAAAAGUGAUGAAAGAAGCGGAAGUUUUGAGGCAUGCCAAUCUUGUGAGGAAGCUCGAUAAGAAGCUUGCUUUUGCUGAUAAAAAGCUAACAAAAGCCGAACGAGCAUUAUCGAAAGUGGAGGAAUCCUUAAAUCCAGCGGAUCGAACAGAAGACCCUGAAAACAUUUCCGAUGAAGAAAGGUUUAUGUUCCGGAAGCUUGGUUUAAGGAUGAAGGCAUUUUUACUUCUCGGGAGGCGUGGAGUUUUUGGCGGCACGGUGGAGAACAUGCACUUGCAUUGGAAAUAUCGAGAAUUAGUAAAGAUUAUUGUUAAGGCUCCAAAUAUCGAGGAAGUGAAGAAUAUUGCACUAUCGCUCGAAGCUGAGAGUGGCGGUGUAUUGGUUUCGGUGGACAAAAUAUCGAAAGGAUAUGCGAUAGUUGUUUUUCGGGGCAGGGAUUAUAAAAGGCCUCCACUUUUGAGGCCGAAGAAUCUUUUGACGAAAAGAAAAGCAUUGGCUCGUUCGAUUGAACUUCAAAGACGCGAGGCCCUAUUGAACCAUGUUUCGGCCCUGCAAUCGAGAGUUAAUCAGCUCAGAAGUGAAAUUCGACAAGUGGAGGCUGUAAAAGAUCGUGGCGAUGAAGCACUGUACAAUAAACUCGAUUAUGCUUAUUCCACUGAUGACGAGGACAAUGAGGAGGAAGGAGACGAGACUUACAUCGAGUCCUACGAUAGUGAAAAUGACAUGGCAGAUGAAAAUGAUGAUUCGGUUGAAAAUUCGUAUUUGGAGACGAAUUUUCCUUAUGAUAUUCAAGAGGAAUCGGAAACCGAAUUUGCCGAGCGAUAGAUAAAUAGCCGGUGAACACGAUUAUUAAUGUAAUCAUAAUUGAGUAUAUUAUAUCAGGAAAAAGAAAUGCACUGAAUGAAAUUUGCUUAUGAAUGACACUAUACACUACAGGUUUUUUAGGUUGAA